rnacentral:rRNA from 1 species
UACAGGUAGCCCGAGUGGUAUCCACGAAUAUUGAGCCUAAAGCGCUCGUAGCCGGUUUUGCAAGUCUUCUGUGAAAUCCUCUGGCUCAACCAGAGGGCGUGCAGGAGAUACUACAAGGCUUGGGAGUGGGGGAGGUAAUGGGUACGUUAGGGGGAGGGGUAAAAUCCUGUAAUCCUUAACGGACCUUCAGUAGCGAAACUUUUUCUUUUUGGAAAAAAAGUAAAACUUUACCAAAAGAAAAAGCG